rnacentral:rRNA from 1 species
AUUGAACGCUGGCGGCAUGCCUUACACAUGCAAGUCGAACGGUAACAGGUCUUCGGAUGCUGACGAGUGGCGAACGGGUGAGUAAUACAUCGGAACGUGCCCGAGAGUGGGGGAUAACGAGGCGAAAGCUUUGCUAAUACCGCAUACGAUCUCAGGAUGAAAGCAGGGGACCGCAAGGCCUUGCGCUCACGGAGCGGCCGAUGGCAGAUUAGGUAGUUGGUGGGAUAAAAGCUUACCAAGCCGACGAUCUGUAGCUGGUCUGAGAGGACGACCCGCCACACGGGGACUGAGACACGGCCCGGACUCCUACGGGAGGCAGCAGUGGGGAAUUUUGGACAAUGGGCGCAAGCCUGAUCCAGCCAUGCCGCGUGCAGGAUGAAGGCCUUCGGGUUGUAAACUGCUUUUGUACGGAACGAAAAGACUCCUUCUAAUAAAGGGGGUCCAUGACGGUACCGUAAGAAUAAGCACCGGCUAACUACGUGCCAGCAGCCGCGGUAAUAC